CGUGCCGUUGAAGGGAGACCUGUUGAUGAAUAUCUGCAACACGGAGGGAAAUGUAUGCAUUCACACCGACUAGAACUCCACGUUGGAACGGGAGAUGGAGAACUUGAGUUUCACUUCGUAAGACGACCACACUGCCAAGCAGCCGAAGGAAACACGAAGGAGGCUGGGGUCAGGGAUCGGAUCACAGGCCUGAGAGUCCCAGUCGUCCAUCUCCCACUGCACCAGGCUGCCUUCGGUGCAUUGUGAUAUCACUUCCUGGUGGCUCCUUUCUCGAUCCCACAAUCGAAAUAGAGAGAGUUUGCCCACCGGAGCGGGACGCGAGAUGACCUUCCCGUUGACCAGGUGUCGUGAUGCACCCAGAGUCGCCGUUGACGUACAGGGCCGGUCGGUCUUUAGUUUGUGUCCAGGUCAGGCACAGCGAGGACCACUGGGACCGAGGAAG